rnacentral:misc_RNA from 1 species
AACCUUUCCUAUUCUCAAUCAAGCAAGAAUACAAUAAAGUAAAAUGUUGAAUGCUUAUUGAUAUAUAACGAUAUAAAUAUUUCCUUUCAGUAACUCAAUUCUGAAUUGAUCAACUUAAGUCUAAAAGCUAAUCUUGAGUGAUGUUCUUCGGAAGAAAAAUAUCAGUAGAAGUCAUUUGGUUUGCCAAUUUUAAUGCCUUGUUCACUCAAGAACCCUGUUAUUGCAUUCUUCUGCCAGCCCUUGAAACUCUUGUGAUCAAGGUGUGCAAUGAUCUCUCCACCUGGGAAAGCAAAUUUAGUAGCCUCGUAUGCUGCUUUAAUUGCUUCUUUCCAGCUCCCGCCGAUACCUUUGUUGUUUGUUUCACCAUUCGACUGGUUCGGAUUUUCCAUUGGCAAUGAAUAUCCAGAGAGCAAGUGGCUUAUCCAAACUCCAUCUUUUAGAACUAUGUCCAUGUGGCGAGGUGCAUAAUGUCCACCCCCAACGCCAAGAAGGACUUUAUUGUUCUUGCUAUGUUCCCUGUUCCAGUUUCCUACAUCGUUUCCUCCUCCAAUAGCAAGUCCUUCCCAGACAAGUAGAGCAACAACACGGGCAGCAUCUAGCCUCCUCCAAUACUCGUCUGUACUGCCAAUUUCCAGAAACAGAGUUGGUUUAUUUGUCACAGGUCCAUGAUGAGUACCCUCCAACGUAAUCUCGAACUCUGGCACUAAGUUAUGGGAUUGUGCAAUGCUCUUCAAUAGCCUCAGCCAGGGACCUAUACGAGGACUCGGCGGCGCCGCCCAUCCAGGCUUCCCUCCUUGCGGCGGAACUUCACCAUCUCGCAAAUGAGGAACCCCAAUCGGAUGAACGGUGAGUGCAGGACGAUUCGAAACGGCAGUAUGCCGGCUGAAGAAAAUGACCUCGUCCACAACCUCGCCGGUGAGCUCCUCCCAACGAGUGUCGAGGUCGUCUUCAACAACAAUACUCCUGUCGUGUUGCAGCAGCCUCACGUCUCGAUUGGUGAAGCUUUUCAUUUCCUGGAGAGGAGGGCCGGGAAGCCAUCCGGGCAUGGCGAGAAGCUCGUUUGCAGGAUUGAUAGAUGCUGGAUCGAUUGUCGUUGCCACCACUAGCGUCACCAUGGUUGGCCCUGUCUGCUGCAAUUUCAGGGAAUUGG